UACAGAGACUGCAAGCGUUAUUCGGAAUUACUGGGCGUAAAGGCUCGUAGGCGGCCAACUAAGUCGGACGUGAAAUCCCUCGGCUUAACCGGGGAACUGCGUCCGAUACUGGAUGGCUUGAGUUCGGGAGAGGGAUGCGGAAUUCCAGGUGUAGCGGUGAAAUGCGUAGAUAUCUGGAGGAACACCGGUGGCGAAGGCGCAUCCUGGACCGACACUACGCUGAGGAGCGAAAGCCAGGGAGCAAAACGGGG
rnacentral:rRNA from 1 species